rnacentral:rRNA from 1 species
ACGUCAAGUCCUCAUGACCCUUACGGGCUGGGCUACACACGUGCUACAAUGGCGGUGACAGUGGGAUGCGAUGGGGCGACCCUGAGCUAAUCUCCAAAAACCGUCUCAGUUCGGAUUGCAGUCUGCAACUCGACUGCAUGAAGUUGGAAUCGCUAGUAAUCGUGGAUCAGCAUGCCACGGUGAAUACGUUCCCGGGCCUU